CCUACGGGAGGCAGCAGUGGGGAAUAUUGGACAAUGGGCGAAAGCCUGAUCCAGCAAUUCCGCGUGUGUGAAGAAGGCCUUCGGGUUGUAAAGCACUUUAGUUGGGGAAGAAACAGCUUGGCCACACCAAGCCUUGACGGUACCCAAAGAAUAAGCACCGGCUAACUCUGUGCCAGCAGCCGCGGUAAUACAGAGGGUGCAAGCGUUAAUCGGAUUUACUGGGCGUAAAGGGUGCGUAGGUGGUUUUGUAAGUCGGAUGUGAAAGCCUGGGGCUCAACCUCAGAAUUGCACUCGAUACUGCAAGACUAGAGUUCGGUAGAGGGCGGCGGAAUUCCCGGUGUAGCGAUGAAAUGCGUAGAUAUCGGGAGGAACAUCAAUGGCGAAGGCAGCCGCCUGGGCCUGAACUGACACUGAGGCACGAAAGCGUGGGUAGCAAACAGGAUUAGAUACCCUGGUAGUCCACGCUGUAAACGAUGAGAACUUGACGUUGGUUCGUUUUACGAAUCGGUGUCGCAGCUAACGCGAUAAGUUCUCCGCCUGGGGAGUACGGCCGCAAGGUUGAAACGUUCAAAGGAAUUGACGG
rnacentral:rRNA from 1 species